GAUGAACGCUGGCGGCGUGCCUAAUACAUGCAAGUCGAACGCUUUGUCUUUAAUUGACAUGAAGAGCUUGCUCUGAUUUGAUUUUAUCUGACAAAGAGUGGCGAACGGGUGAGUAACACGUGGGUAACCUACCUCUUAGCAGGGGAUAACAUUUGGAAACAAGUGCUAAUACCGUAUAAUACUAACAACCGCAUGGUUGUUAGUUGAAAGAUGGUUCUGCUAUCACUAAGAGAUGGACCCGCGGUGCAUUAGCUAGUUGGUAAGGUAAUGGCUUACCAAGGCGAUGAUGCGUAGCCGAGUUGAGAGACUGAUCGGCCACAAUGGGACUGAGACACGGCCCAUACUCCUACGGGAGGCAGCAGUAGGGAAUCUUCCACAAUGGGCGCAAGCCUGAUGGAGCAACGCCGCGUGUGUGAUGAAGGGUUUCGGCUCGUAAAACACUGUUAUAAGAGAAGAACGACAUUGAGAGUAACUGUUCAGUGUGUGACGGUAUCUUAUCAGAAAGGAACGGCUAAAUACGUG
rnacentral:rRNA from 1 species